GACGAACGCUGGCGGCGUGCUUAACACAUGCAAGUCGUACGGUAAGGCCCUUUCGGGGGUACACGGGUGGCGAACGGGGGAGUAACACGGUAGUAACCUUCCCAUAACUUUGGGAUAACGCUAGGGAACUGGUGCCUAUUCUCGAUAUGUGCUCCUUCUGCCUGGGGGGGGUUGGGAAGCUCUGGCGGGUGUGGGUGGACUUGCGGGCUAUUCGCUUGUUGGGUGGGUAGUGGCCUACCAAGGCGGCGGCGGGUAGGCGGGCUGGGGGGGUGACCGGCCAAAUUGGGACUGGGAUACGGCCCAGGCUCCCACGGGGGGCAGCAGUGGGGAAUAAUGCACCAAGGGCGGGAGCCUGAUGCAGCAACGCCGCGGGCGGGGAGACCGCCUUUGGGUUGGAAAACGCCUUCAGCAGGGACGGAGCUUUUUGUGACGGUACCUGCAGAAGAAGCACCGGCUAACUACGUG
rnacentral:rRNA from 1 species